rnacentral:rRNA from 1 species
UACAGAGGUCUCAAGCGUUGUUCGGAUUCAUUGGGCGUAAAGGGUGCGUAGGUGGCAGGGUAAGUCGGAUGCGAAAUCCCGGGGCUCAACCUCGGAACUGCAUUCGAUACUGCUUUGCUUGAGUACUGGAGAGGAGAUUGGAAUUUACGGUGUAGCAGUGAAAUGCGUAGAUAUCGUAAGGAAGACCAGUGGCGAAGGCGGAUCUCUGGACAGUUACUGACACUGAGGCACGAAGGCCAGGGGAGCAAACGGG